rnacentral:tRNA from 1 species
UAAGCGCAAGUGGUUUAGUGGUAAAAUCCAACGUUGCCAUCGUUGGGCCCCCGGUUCGAUUCCGGGCUUGC